UGAUGUUUACAUGCCUUAGGAAAAAACAGC
rnacentral:piRNA from 1 species